rnacentral:rRNA from 1 species
GACAGAGGUGCCAAGCGUUAGGCGGAAUCACUGGGCUUAAAGCGUGUGUAGGCGGAUGUCUAAGUGCCUUGUGAAAUCCCACGGCUCAACCGUGGAACUGCUUGGCAUACUGGAUGUCUUGAGCCAGCUAGGGGCUACCGGAACAAAUGGUGGAGCGGUGAAAUGCGUAGAUAUCAUUUGGAACGCCAAUGGUGAAAACAGGUAGCUGGGGGCUGUGCUGACGCUGAGACACGAAAGCCAGGGGAGCGAACGGGG